rnacentral:rRNA from 1 species
AACGAACGCUGGCGGCAGGCUUAACACAUGCAAGUCGAGCGCCCCGCAAGGGGAGCGGCAGACGGGUGAGUAACGCGUGGGAACGUACCUUUUGGUGCGGAACAACUCCGGGAAACUGGAGCUAAUACCGGAUAAGCCCUAACGGGGAAAGACUUAUCGCCGAAAGAUCGGCCCGCGUCUGAUUAGCGAGUUGGUGAGGUAACGGCACACCAAGGCGACGAUCAGUAGCUGGUCUGAGAGGCUGAGCAGCCACACUGGGACUGCGACACGGCCCAGACCCCUACGGGAGGCAGCAGUGGGGAAUAUUGGACGCUGGGCGCAAGCGUGGUCCAGCCAUGCCGCGUGAGUGAUGAAGCCCUUAGGGUUGUAAAGCUCUCUUGUCCGGGAAGAUAAUGACUGUACCGGAAGAAUAAGCCCCGGCUAACUUCGUG